UACGUAGGCAGCGAGCGUUGUCCGGAAUUAUUGGGCGUAAAGAGCUUGUAGGCGGUUUGUCGCGUCUGCCGUGAAAAUCCGGGGCUCAACCCCGGACUUGCGGUGGGUACGGGCAGACUAGAGUGUGGUAGGGGAGACUGGAAUUCCUGGUGUAGCGGUGAAAUGCGCAGAUAUCAGGAGGAACACCGAUGGCGAAGGCAGGUCUCUGGGCCACUACUGACGCUGAGACGCGAAAGCGUGGGGAGCAAACAGG
rnacentral:rRNA from 1 species